rnacentral:rRNA from 1 species
UACGAAGGGGGCUAGCGUUGCUCGGAAUCACUGGGCGUAAAGCGCACGUAGGCGGAUUGUUAAGUCGGGGGUGAAAUCCUGGAGCUCAACUCCAGAACUGCCUUCGAUACUGGCGAUCUCGAGUUCGGGAGAGGUGAGUGGAACUGCGAGUGUAGAGGUGAAAUUCGUAGAUAUUCGCAAGAACACCAGUGGCGAAGGCGGCUCACUGGCCCGAUACUGACGCUGAGGUGCGAAAGCGUAGGGAGCAAACAGG